rnacentral:rRNA from 1 species
UACGUAGGGGGCAAGCGUUGUCCGGAAUCAUUGGGCGUAAAGGGUGCGUAGGCGGCGCGGUAAGUCGGGUGUGAAAUCUCGGAGCUUAACUCCGAAACUGCAUUCGAUACUGCCGUGCUUGAGGACUGGAGAGGAGACUGGAAUUUACGGUGUAGCGGUGAAAUGCGUAGAUAUCGUAAGGAAGACCAGUGGCGAAGGCGGGUCUCUGGACAGUUCCUGACGCUGAGGCACGAAGGCCAGGGGAGCAAACAGG